GAUGAACGCUGGCGGCGUGCCUAACACAUGCAAGUCGAGCGGCAGCGAGGGGUGCUUGCCCCCUGCCGGCGAGCGGCGGACGGCUGAGUAACGCGUGGGAACGUGCCCCAAAGUGAGGAAUAACUGCCCGAAAGGGUAGCUAAUACCGCAUAUUAUCUUCGGAUCAAAGGAUUUAUCCGCUUUGGGAGCGGCUCGCGUCGGAUUAGGUAGUUGGUGAGGUAAUGGCUCACCAAGCCGACGAUCCGUAGCUGGUCUGAGAGGAUGACCAGCCAGACUGGAACUGAGACACGGCCCAGACUCCUACGGGAGGCAGCAGUGAGGAAUCUUCCACAAUGGGCGAAAGCCUGAUGGAGCAACGCCGCGUGCAGGACGAAGGCCUUCGGGUUGUAAACUGCUUUUAUAAGUGAGGAAUAUGACGGUAACUUAUGAAUAAGGAUCGGCUAACUACGU
rnacentral:rRNA from 1 species